rnacentral:rRNA from 1 species
AUUGAACGCUGGCGGCAGGCCUAACACAUGCAAGUCGAGCGGAUGAAGGGAGCUUGCUCCUGGAUUCAGCGGCGGACGGGUGAGUAAUGCCUAGGAAUCUGCCUGGUAGUGGGGGAUAACGUCCGGAAACGGGCGCUAAUACCGCAUACGUCCUGAGGGAGAAAGUGGGGGAUCUUCGGACCUCACGCUAUCAGAUGAGCCUAGGUCGGAUUAGCUAGUUGGUGGGGUAAAGGCCUACCAAGGCGACGAUCCGUAACUGGUCUGAGAGGAUGAUCAGUCACACUGGAACGGAGACACGGUCCAGACUCCUACGAGAGGCAGCAGUGGGGAAUAGUGGGCAAUGGGCGAAAGCCUGAUCCAGCCAUGCCGCGUGUGUGAAGAAGGUGUUCGGAUUGGAAAGCACGUUAAGUUGGGAGGAAGGGCAGUAAGUUAAUACCUUGCUGUUGCGACGGUACCAACAGAAUAAGCACCGGCUAACUUCGUG